rnacentral:rRNA from 1 species
CCCUUAGAUGUUCUGGGCCGCACGCACGCUACACUGAUGAAUUCAACGAGCCUAGCCUUGUCCGAAAGGUCCGGGUAAUCUCUGAAACUUCAUCGUGAUGGGGAUAGAUCAUUGCAAUUAUUGAUCUUCAACGAGGAAUUCCUAGUAAGCGCAAGUCAUCAGCUUGCGUUGAUUACGUCCCUGCCCUUUGUACACACCGCCCGUCGCUUGUACCGAUUGGAUGGUCCGGUGAAAUCUUCGGAUAGCUGGUAGUUGGCUUGCCAUCUACUGCUAAAAGUUGCUUAAACCUUAUCAUCUAGAGGAACAAGAAGUCGUAACA